rnacentral:rRNA from 1 species
CCCCUAGAUGUUCUGGGCCGCUCGCGCGCUACACUGAACAGUUCAACAAGUCUUAACCUUGGCCGAUAGGUCUGGGUAAUCUUUGAACGCUGUUCGUGAUUGGGAUAGACCUUUGCAAUUAUGGGUCUUCAACGAGGAAUUCCUAGUAAACGCAAGUCAUCAGCUUGCAUUGAUUACGUCCCUGCCCUUUGUACACACCGCCCGUCGCACCUACCGAUUGAAUGGUCCGGUGAAAUCUCGGGACGGCGGCUCGGUCGCUUGCGUCCGACUGCUGAAACUUGAUUAAACCAUAUCAUUUAGAGGAAGGUGAAGUCGUAACA